UACGUAGGGGGCUAGCGUUGUCCGGAAUCAUUGGGCGUAAAGAGCGUGUAGGCGGUCCGGUAAGUCCGCUGUGAAAGUCGGGGGCUCAACCCUCGAAUGCCGGUGGAUACUGUCGGGCUAGAGUGCGGAAGAGGCGAGUGGAAUUCCUGGUGUAGCGGUGAAAUGCGCAGAUAUCGAGGAGGAACACCUAUUGCGAAGGCAGCUCGCUGGGACGCAACUGACGCUGAGACGCGAAAGCGUGGGGAGCAAACAGG
rnacentral:rRNA from 1 species